rnacentral:rRNA from 1 species
GAUGAACGCUGUCUACAGGCUUAACACAUGCAAGUCGAGGGGAAACGACGGGGAAGCUUGCUUCCCCGGGCGUCGACCGGCGCACGGGUGAGUAACGCGUAUCCAACCUGCCUCUGACUGAGGGAUAACCCGUCGAAAGUCGGCCUAAUACCUCAUGGCAUCGUCUGCGGGCAUCCAACGACGAUUAAAGAUUUCAUCGGUCAGGGAUGGGGAUGCGUCUGAUUAGCUUGUUGGCGGGGUAACGGCCCACCAAGGCUACGAUCAGUAGGGGUUCUGAGAGGAAGGUCCCCCACAUUGGAACUGCGACACGGUCCAAACUCCUACGGGAGGCAGCAGUGAGGAAUAUUGGUCAAUGGGCGGGAGCCUGAACCAGCCAAGUAGCGUGCAGGAUGCCGGCCCUAUGGGUUGUAAACUGCUUUUAUGCGGGGAUAAAGUGAGGGACGUGUCCUUCAUUGCAGGUACCGCAUGAAUAAGGACCGGCUAAUUCCGUG